CGGCGGACGGGUGAGUAACACGUGGGUAACCUGCCUGUAAGACUGGGAUAACUCCGGGAAACCGGGGCUAAUACCGGAUGGUUGUCUGAACCGCAUGGUUCAGACAUAAAAGGUGGCUUCGGCUACCACUUACAGAUGGACCCGCGGCGCAUUAGCUAGUUGGUGAGGUAACGGCUCACCAAGGCGACGAUGCGUAGCCGACCUGAGAGGGUGAUCGGCCACACUGGGACUGAGACACGGCCCAGACUCCUACGGGAGGCAGCAGUAGGGAAUCUUCCGCAAUGGACGAAAGUCUGACGGAGCAACGCCGCGUGAGUGAUGAAGGUUUUCGGAUCGUAAAGCUCUGUUGUUAGGGAAGAACAAGUGCCGUUCAAAUAGGGCGGCACCUUGACGGUACCUAACCAGAAAGCCACGGCUAACUACGUGCCAGCAGCCGCGGUAAUACGUAGGUGGCAAGCGUUGUCCGGAAUUAUUGGGCGUAAAGGGCUCGCAGGCGGUUUCUUAAGUCUGAUGUGAAAGCCCCCGGCUCAACCGGGGAGGGUCAUUGGAAACUGGGGAACUUGAGUGCAGAAGAGGAGAGUGGAAUUCCACGUGUAGCGGUGAAAUGCGUAGAGAUGUGGAGGAACACCAGUGGCGAAGGCGACUCUCUGGUCUGUAACUGACGCUGAGGAGCGAAAGCGUGGGGAGCGAACAGGAUUAGAUACCCUGGUAGUCCACGCCGUAAACGAUGAGUGCUAAGUGUUAGGGGGUUUCCGCCCCUUAGUGCUGCAGCUAACGCAUUAAGCACUCCGCCUGGGGAGUACGGUCGCAAGACUGAAACUC
rnacentral:rRNA from 1 species